rnacentral:tRNA from 1 species
CCCGCCGGUGGCGAGCGUACGGCCGUCCGGGCUGAACCCCCAGGACAGGACCGCGCCGGUGUCCGGGCGGCUCGACGCCGCCGAGCGGGUC